rnacentral:tRNA from 1 species
GGAGAGGUGCCUGAGUGGUCUAAAGGACAUGCUUGGAAAGCAUGCGUGGGAGAAAUCCCACCGCGAGUUCGAAUCUCGCCCUCUCCGCCA